rnacentral:rRNA from 1 species
UACGAAGGGGGCUAGCGUUGUUCGGAAUCACUGGGCGUAAAGGGCGCGUAGGCGGCUUGAUAAGUCGGGGGUGAAAGCCUGUGGCUCAACCACAGAAUUGCCUUCGAUACUGUCGAGCUUGAGACCGGAAGAGGUAAGUGGAACUGCGAGUGUAGAGGUGAAAUUCGUAGAUAUUCGCAAGAACACCAGUGGCGAAGGCGGCUCUCUGGGACGGUACUGACGCUGAGACGCGAAAGCGUGGGGAGCGAACAGG